rnacentral:tRNA from 1 species
GCCUUCGUAGUGUAGUGGUUAGCAAGCUCGACACGUAUUCGAGAGGUCCAUGGUUCGAGUCCCGGGGAGGGCA